GCCACUACCAAACAGCUGUCGAGAUUGCCCGGGGAUCACUUGUACUAGAGCAAAGUUAAAGAACAGCUACUGUGCUGGUGUCUAACUUGAUUCAUGGCUAUCCAAUCAAGGAGACGAGGAGGCAUCCCGAAAAUGACACAUCAGCAGGGAGAAGAGAAAGGAGUGGGUCCAGAAAGGAACGGCUUGGAUCAGACAUGGUGAAACCAAAGGAAGCCUGUGGUCACUAAGUUCAACUUUGCUACUUUUGUACAUUUGGGGAAAGCUGCCAGAACAAUCUCAGCUGGGAGCAGUGUGCCAGUUCCUGUUCAGUGUUGCCAGAUGAAACCUCUUUUUUUUUUUUUUUUCCCCCCCCAACAUCAUCAGCCUCAGUCAAGCAACUUCCUGCAAGAAUACCCAAAGUGGGUUACACACUGCAGGAAGAAACUAGGACACUUGCCUUACAACUAUCUUCAGUAGAGAAGAUCCCAGCCAAGUUCACGUUUCCAGGAAAGAAACCUCACACAUCCCAAGAGCUGACCAAUGAAACACACCUUUGAAGACUCUGGCUCAACAUCAGCUUGUCAUUUACACCUCAGAGAUAAAGACCUUCUGUUUCCAAAGUACAAAGCCCAAAACCCUCCAAGCAGUUCCACCAGGGGUCCAGAGUCAUCUCAACAGGAGAUCAUUUUUCUACAGAGCACAAGGAGAAUUCCUUCCCAACACCUAACCUAAAAAUCCCCUCUUUCAGUUUGAAUCCAUUCCACCUUGCCCUAUCUACCUGUGUAAAAAGUCAGUCCCCCUCCAGCUUGUA